AAUCUCCCUAACAGAUGCAUCGGAAAGGGAAUUACCGUCUACCCUUGCGUUUACUAUGGGGUGGUACAAAAAGAAAUCAAUCGCAUAGAGAGGUGGGGGGGGGAAUAAUCGCCGCCCGCCCCAGAAACUAACUGCAGAGACUAUUCUCUCCCCGCCUCCCGAUUAGGGUUUUUUUUUUUUAAUCAACCCGGGUUACGCGCGCAUGCACACACGCCGGCUGCGGCCAAUUCUCGCGGGACCCGGCGUUCUCGCUAUAAAAAGUCACCAGAGGGGCUCUUCCUUCCUUUCCCAUUUGAUAACUGUGCAGGUGCAAGAAGUUGGUUGUCAGCUGGUAAGCAUAGUCUUCCACUCUGCAGCUGAAUGGCCUGGAAACAAUAACUGAAUGAAUGGAUAUCCUUGGUAAGAAUAUAUGUUACUGCUUCCUUUAGAACACUGUAUAAGCCUUCCAUCUGUACUCAAAUUUCAGAACAUGUCCUGGUCAUCAGGCACCUCAAGAACUGUUUUUAAGGGCAGGUAUUUGUUGUGCUGCGUUCCACACUUCUCAGUUAUAUCCAAAGCACUAGGGCCAAAUAUCAGGAUUUUCCUCUAAGAAGCUGAAUGCUUUGUGCAUGAUCAUUUUCUCUUCAUAAUUGCCCUCUGAUAGAAGGCUGAGAAAUAGUGAUAGGCCUGAUAGCACCAGUAGGUUUCCUGACUCACAAGGAGAGAUUUAAAGCUGGGUCUGUGAGUCUAAGACAACACUAAAGAUUAUAGCAGACUUGAUAUGGUAAUGAAACCUUUUUGCAUCCAGCAAAAGUACGUUAAACUCAAAUUCCUUGUGGCUUUGCCCCAUUAUAUCUUUUCAUAGCAAAAUUUAGGCCAUCCAGUCUAUGAAGCAGCACUUUGCGUGAUUGCUGUGUGAAAUACCGCUGCUUAAAGUGGGUGCUUUGUAAUUAAUGCAUCAGUGCCUCCUUUUUGUCUAGCACUUUUUGCCAGUGCUAGACUCACUGUUGGAUGGCUUAGGAAGAAUGUUGUCUCUGUUUAAAAAGUUUAUAACUAUAAUGUGGGCAGACUAAUGAAGUAUGAGAACACAGCCCAGGACCUUAUCAAGGAUUCUAGUGGCAUGAGUAGCCCAUUAUCUGUUAUCAAGCCAUAUAAGUAAUUAUGUAUUACAUGAUUUUAAGGGAUUUUACUCUUGAGAAAUUAUGUUUCAUGUGGUAUGAAAGCUUAAUGUCUUCACUUAGCAUUAUAUCUGGAUGAUGAAUUACAAAUGGCAGGGCUUUGAGUCAAAGGGCUAAAUCUUUUGAUAGUUGAAUCUUCUAGAGUAGAUCAAUCUGUUGAAUGAAAGGAGUGUGUGAGUUGCUGGUCCUUCUCAUUCAGUGGAUCAACUUUGGCUUGUGCUAGCAAUAAGAUAUAGCACACAAAGAUAGAUGGAACUGUGUUUGACAUCCUGUCCCCUUUUUAGCUUUGCCCUCUUAAGGCUGUUAGUGCUUUAAGUGGCCAGUAUGGAGGGGUAAAUUAAUUCUCCCUUAAACCUAGAGUUGAGGAUAGUACUUAACUCUGGAUCCUGUCUGGAGGAACAAAAUGUAGUACAUUGUUUAUUAAAUGAUUGGUGUGAUGCAUAAUAAAAUUACUCUUAACUCCUGGGAUCA
rnacentral:lncRNA from 1 species